UCCUUUUCGACCGUUCUAUUGCAGCCGUGGUAGACUGGCAGGUGUCUCCAUCCACAACUAUGAUGCCUUCCGUCACUACAGAUACAAGUAUCAUUGCCUCGUGGUCAGGAGGCACAAUGUGGUGUCAGCUGCACUCCGGUUAGUAUAGACCACUGGCAAGUUGCUGGGAAAGUGGACUGGAUGUGCCCCAGUUCUCUUCCUGCUAGCUGUGCUACACCCCUGAUGGCACCACCCUGCGGCACUGCUUGAUCUGCUCUGGAGUCGGAAGUCAAGGAUCUGUUCCCUCAAGGACAGCCACUACUAGCCUAAUGUGACAACUGGAAAUCCGUAGCUACGUGCCAUGUCCUCACAAUGACGAUGAUGAUGAUGCGCGUGGCUUUAGUGUAUCGCCGCUACGUGGCAGCUUCGUUCCUACUCGAGAUGGAGGGAACCUGAACAUCAGUCUGCAAUAACCCAGCUGCCCGCCAUACCAACCACAUUUACUGUACAUUCCAGUCUUACACAGGUCGGAAUCCGUCCCCUCUCUCCAGCAGUGUACACGAGGAAGAAGGCCUGGUCAUGCCGGCCACCCCCUAAACAUAAGGCAAACAAAUCUCUGGUGUCAGUCAGGAGAUGGAGCACGUCCCGCCAGAAGUCUGGCACUGGCGUCCCUACAUCUGCGCACUACCACCGUGGUAAAGCCACAGCCGUUUCACAGGAGCUAACACUUCAGCCACAGCUGCGCUAGUCCGAUCUGUACCCGCCCAAGCGUCUGAGAAGACCGUCCUCCUCCUCCUUUUUUCUC